rnacentral:rRNA from 1 species
UAGGGAAUAUUGCACAAUGGGCGAAAGCCUGAUGCAGCAACGCCGCGUGCGCGAAGAAGGCCUUCGGGUUGUAAAGCGCUUUUCGGGGAGAAGAGGAAGGACAGUAUCCCCGGAAUAAGGCUCGGCUAACUACGUGCCAGUAGCCGCGGUAACACGUAGGAGCCAAGCGUUAUCCGAAUUCACUGGGCGUAAAGCGCGUGUAGGCGGUCUUACAAGUUGGGUGUGAAAGCUCCUGGCUCAACUAGGAGAGGACGUUCAAUACUGUGAGACUAGAGGACGGCAGAGGAAGGUGGAAUUCCCGGUGUAGUGGUGAAAUGCGUAGAUAUCGGGAGGAACACCAGAGGCGAAGGCGGCCUUCUGGGCCGAUCCUGACGCUCAGACGCGAAAGCUGGGGGAGCGAACGG